rnacentral:rRNA from 1 species
GACGAACGCUGGCGGCGUGCCUAAUACAUGCAAGUCGAACGCAGUGGGGACGGGUGAGUAACACGUGGGUAACCUCCCAUCAGAGGGGAUAACACUUGGAAACAGGUGCUAAACCGAUACUGAUGGAUGGAACCGCGGUGCAUUAGCUAGUUGGGGAGGUAACGGCUCACCAAGGCCACGAUGCAUAGCGGACCGUAGAGAGUGAUCGGCCACACUGGGACUGAGACACGGCCCAGACUCCGACGGGAGGCAGCAGUAGGGAAGCUGCGGCAAUGGACUAAAGUCUGACCGAGUAACGCCGCGUGAGUGAAGAAGGGUGUCGGAUCGUAGAACUCUGUUGUUAGAGAAGCGGUAUCUAACCAGAAAGCCACGGCUAACUACGUGCCAGCAGCCGCGGUAAUUC